GUUACCCAUCAACAACAACGGCUUCUCUCCUCCACCACCACCUCCUCCUCCUGCUGCUGCUCCUCCUCACCCCCAUCCUCACCAUCACCCACAACAACAACAACAACAGCCUCCACCAGCAAGAGCAACACCACGACCAUCACUACUACCACAGCCCUCCACAACCCAGGGAGCUACUGGAAGAAGGGGAGAUAAGGUGGCAAUCCACGCUGUUUUUAUUUCUCUGCUUUUUACUUAAAAUUCGGCAAACCGAAGUCUGGUUAUAUGUGACCCUAGGUUUGUGUUCUCCCUCUUGGAACUUGUGUGUGGGCCUUGGACUCCCGCUGAGAUUGUGUGGAUUUGGAGACUCAGGCACUUGUGAACUUUUUCCUUCUGAUCAUCUUCUCCAUGCUGGCUCUUUAACCUCUUCUAUACUUAUUAUAAACAGGUUGUUUCGUACUUAUUGUCAAUAACUUGCUCACUCAUACACAAGCAGUUGUCUUUGUGCUGCAAAUCAUUCUGUUGUUCUUAAACACCGUAUCACAGUGCUGUGUUUAUUUGCAGGCCUGUAAGAGAAAUCUUCUAAUUCCAUUUUUAUAGUGUUGUUAUUUCAUCAAUAUUAAGAUCUGUAGAAGAUCCACCUUGAUUGAGACUAUGAUUGGAAUAAGCUGCAUUUUGUCAGCAGCCACUCCAAUAUUCCCCCAGAUAUUCUCAUUAAUACAUUUUACUUCACUUUAUCAGUUUUUCAUUAAACAGAGGUUGAGGAAAGAGAGGAUGGAAAUGUAGUCAGAAAUCAUAUUAAUUAUCACAGUUUUGAAGGAUAUGCUGGCUUUCUUUUCUUGUGGCUUUUUACUUUCUCUGGAGUGCUAAAAGUGAAGUCAGGUUAAUCAUAAUAACCUAUGAAUCCUUUGAAUUUAAAAUACCUGUAUGUUUAAUCAUUUUUGGUUGCUAGAUAUACAGUCUUGUACUAGGAGCAUAUGGCAAUUGUUUGUUUUUUCUGGACUCAACGUAGUAUUUCUAACACUCGUGGGACAGUUUUUUAAUGUCCAUUUACUUUCUGCCUAAUCCUUCAAUUCUUCUUUUAACAUGACACAAAAUCAUCUCUCAACUAAUAAUGGUCAUUGAUUUAGUAUUUUAUUUAUACUGCAGUCGUGGGUGUAAUGUUCACUUAACUCAGGUAAAUGGGACUUAACGUCUGAGUAAACAGACUCAUGAUUGACUUGCAUGGUUAUUAAUGGAGUAAAAGGUCUUAAAACCUCAUAUGUUCAGUGUGAUUUUGGAGGAAAUCUGAAUGUUUCCUAACCAAAUUCUCAUUAACUUGAUUGAUUUUUGUAUAAAGGAAACUAAUUUAAUUGUGAAUAUUGUUAUUCUUUACAUUUGUGAAACCUGUAUUGAAUAGCUUGUUGCUUGUAACAGUGCCAACAAAAAGAUACAGUAUUGAUUUAUCUGACAAAGCAACCCCUGAAGAAUGUGGCAGUGUCUAUUAUUCCUCAGAUUAUCAAGUGCAGAACCGGUUAGAUAAUUAAAGCUUUGGUAAUGCCAGGACUACUUUCUAAAUUACAAUUUGUGUGCUACAUAGUUUUAUAUGUAUAGCAUAUUUGUUUGCAUAAUAUGUUAAAGAUGUAAGUUCUGUCCAUAAACUAUAAAGGACAGACAACACAUUCCCCCUCAACUCCCUAUUAUGUAUUAUUUACCAUGUGGAAGCUGGACGUAAUUGUGUUAUAUUCAGAAGAGAAUAAACCCACUAUUUAAUACUCA
ensembl:lncRNA